rnacentral:rRNA from 1 species
UGGGGAAUAUUGCACAAUGGAGGAAACUCUGAUGCAGCGACGCCGCGUGAGUGAAGAAGGCCUUCGGGUCGUAAAACUUUGUCCUAGGGGACGAUAAUGACGGUACCCUAGGAGGAAGCCCCGGCUAACUACGUGCCAGCAGCCGCGGUAAUACGUAGGGGGCAAGCGUUGUCCGGAUUUAUUGGGCGUAAAGGGUGCGCAGGCGGUCUUUUAAGUCAGAUGUGAAAGCUCACGGCUCAACCGUGGUAAGCAUUUGAAACUGGAAGGCUUGAGUUAAGGUGAGGAAAGUGGAAUUCCUAGUGUAGCGGUGAAAUGCGUAGAUAUUAGGAGGAAUACCAGUGGCGAAGGCGACUUUCUGGACUUAUACUGACGCUGAGGCACGAAAGCGUGGGGAGCAAACAGG